rnacentral:miRNA from 1 species
UGGGGGGGGGGGGGGGGGGGGAAGUUGGGGGGUUGGUGAAAAAAAAACCAUUAAUUUUAUUGUAAUUUUUUAACACACCCCCCCCCCCCGUCCCCCCCCCCCCGCCGUGCUCUNNNNN